rnacentral:lncRNA from 12 species
GGCCGGGCAGCUGAGGGCACGGGCUUCAGCGGCGCGCGCGGCGCAUGCGUGCUGGGCCGGCGCGUGCGCGGUAGCGGAGGGGGACGCGGAGCGGAGCCCGGCACUCGGCAACGCUCGGCGGUUUCCGUGCAGGCCAGGCCGCCAUUUUCUCUCAGCCUCCCCGUGCGCGGCUCCUGUCCCGCUGCCCGCGCUCUGUCCUGCUCGGCGAUGGACGGCAUUGUCACUGAUGUUGCAGUUGGUGUGAAGAGAGGAUCUGACGAACUUCUUUCAGGCAGUGUACUCAGUAGCCCGAACUCUAACAUGAGCAGCAUGGUAGUUACUGGUAAGUGAUGCCCUUUCAAAGGAGAAAUCUAUAAUUUAUAAUUGGACUCAUUUCCUGUUUGCAAGGGGAGAACACCGAAACAAGAAUCCGUUGUGCUGUAGAGGGAUAAACUGUUGGCUUGUAUUAGAAUAUAGUGACUUUGUAUUUCCUACAAACCUUGGAUCUCUGAGAAGAAUAA